rnacentral:lncRNA from 1 species
CGGGGUUUGAGAACACUAUGUCGUGUCGUUGCGAUUGCCUUGCUCUCAUCAGGUUGUUGCUGUCCAAAGACAAUGGUUAGUACAUAGCAAAAGACCGUGAGGAGCACUACGGAAGCUGAUCCAUGGCACAGGAGGUUCGCUUUCAGGUUUGUGUAGAUGGAGAGAAUUAAUUUCGGUUAGGUUGAUACUUCGAGGAGCUAUUAUUCGUUUUUGGUCAAAAGGGUCGAAUUGCUGAGACGACAUGGGUGGAGAGGGGCGACUCCAUUGGCGGUGAUGGAGUUGCUGAUGCGACCCAUGAACAGGUAACAUCAGUAUCGUUUUUGGAAGUAGGGUGUUUUAAUUCGCGAUUUGUUGAUUGCUUGCUUUUUUCUUGCAAUGGAGGGUCGCAGAUUCCCCUUUCUGGAGGAAUUGCAUGAGAGCGCAACCCCGAUGGAACCGGCAGCGUUCACGGUGGUUCGUUUGGUACCGGCUGCCGAGUAAUCGACGGGACUAGCCAUGAGCGCGGACAAGCAGGUUGUGAGGAAGACAUGGCAAAAGGUGUGAGAUGAAAGGCGUCGCCGCAGGUGUCCGAGAUGUCCACCGGGAAGAUGAAGUUCCUACAGUCCUACAGGCACCUGGUUGGGCUAAGAGGUGUCUUUCCCUAAAUCAAUCAAAUCGGUAUGCAUUGAAUUUUUGUUGUUGAGCGAUUAGGAGUGAUGCUGUCAUAUGUGUAUUGACGUCCCCUUGGGGUUCAGAACAUUCAGACAAGUAGUUGAUGCUGUUCUUAAGUAGUGUACGGUUAUGAAUGGAUGAUGAUCUAUCCAUCUUGGAGCAUGUUGUUACUAAUUCAAGGUUGUUGUACAAUUGGUUAUGAGUUACGAUUUAUGGGGAGUGCUUUGUAGUUAGUUCAUGUAUGAGUCUUGUUGGAUGCUUGCUUCUGAAUUUAGCUGUGCAAUGGAAUCGAGAUCAUGAUGCUCAAUGUAUGGAUUAUGGAUGUUCAAUUCAGUUUAUAAUGCUAGUUGUUUUUCAU